rnacentral:lncRNA from 1 species
ACAGAAUGGAUGUUUCAGGCAAGUAUACAGUUCACAUGCAUUGGAAGGAGCGAACACUUCUCACCAUACAGUUGAAUGGCAGGGAUACAGCAGACUCGAAGUCAACAGGCUGAAUGGGGCUUCUUCUGAGACAGACAGAAUGGAUGUUUCAGGCAAGUAUACAAUUCACAUGUAUUGGAAGGAGCGAACACCUCUCACCAUACAGUUGAAUGGCAGGGAUACAGCAGACUCGAAGUCAACAGGCUGAAUGGGGCUUCUUCUGAGACAGACAGAAUGGAUGUUUCAGGCAAGUAUACAAUUCACAUGUAUUGGAAGGAGCGAACACCUCUCACCAUACAGUUGAAUGGCAGGGAUACAGCAGACUCGAAGUCAACAGGUUGCACAGAGCUUUUCUGAGGCAGAUAGUAAAUAUUUCAACAGGGCAUCUCUUCUCCUAUUAGCACAACAGAGGGGUUAAUUCACAUCCCAGAUGAUAAAUCCUCAACAUCCAGACAGUUGGAACAAAUCAGUGUCGCAGGACUCUUACUAUUGACAGUCAGCCCUCAUGACACAUAGAGAGUGCAUGGCAAACAGGAAUGUAGCUUACACACACACACGACAAUUCCACUUCAAACAUAUAUUGUGGGGGAAAACAUCAAUUUUAGCCACUGCAAACUCACUUCACGACGUGCAAUUUAAAGCCAGCACUCACAUUCGGGUUUCUGUCCGAGGGGAAGGGGGAGGGCGCAAUCCUCACUGCCACUAAGGAUGUUCUUAGAUGUUUUUCUUCACAGUCACAGGCAGAGUUCACAUCACCAUUUAUAGAGGGAGAGGUAAGAGAUCGGUAAUGAAUCAAUACAAUCCACUCAGUGAUAUUUAUGAUCGUGAUCCAAACACUCCAAACCACAUCCAAUUCAGUGUCAAACGUGUGCAAUUACAAGACUCAGUUCUCAGUUACUCAGCUCCUCUCCAAUGCAAACAGGGUAAUUCACUCUCCUGCUGUUGUUCUCGAAUCCCUCAUCAAGCAACACUGUCCUCUUCAUUCACCCGUCCUCCAGUAACUAUUACCACCCAAUAAAACGACUUUUCACAAGGGAGAAAAACCACACGCACCACCUCUCUCUCUUGCUUUUUAUCCUCUCCACUGUUGAUGAGGCCUCACGCAAACUCUGAGUAAAUCCCCCACACCUGUUGCCAAUCCAUCAUUUGGGGUUGUCACAGCAACAAACGCACACACAGGCCUGGGAACAGGGUUACACUCAAAGCGUUCCCCCGGGAACACUGCUUCAGCGGGAAUAAGUUCCACAUGCCAUUUGUCACACUGUGACAA